UGAAGUCAAGCCAUCAUCAUUAUUAUUGGUUGUAGCAGUAGUAGUUUUGUGUUAUACCUUAGUUACUGGACUGUUCUUAUCUCAACCAGUGGGAACUAUUUGCUUUUGAUUCUCCUCCCCAUCCCUCUGGGAGCAGGGGGAGGAAGAAGUGGGGAGAGUGAGUGAGCAGCUACAUGGUUUUGAGACUGUUUUGGCUGGACUUAAACCACGACACCAUGAUAUGGCUCAGAGUAUUUUCUGAAAAAGUCCUGCAGUGCAGAGGAGUCAAACAUUUGAUCACAUGCAGCAGCACAAGAUAGAUGGAGUACAGCUGACUCAACAGCUACAGGGGAUUUGGAAUGGAAACAAUCACUUGCUUGAAGGAAACAAUGUUAUCCAACUUGUGGUGUCAGUCAGCCUAUUCCCACAGUCACUGCAUUGAUGGAGGAAAAUUUUGUCCAAGAUGAACCUGGGCUUGUGUUAGUCUCUCAGCAAUUUUGAAAUCGCACUGUCUCCACUGAAAAUUAAAAAGAAAUGCAAUGUAAUAUAACUGCAUUAGAGAAAAAUUGGCCCAUUUUGUCUCAGUAUUAAUUAGAUUAAUUAAACAAUUUCUUAAAAACACUCUAGUGGUGUUCGUUACAGAUAUGUAAUUCUAUAUGUAUUAGCCAGUUUGUAGGAGGGUGCAGCAUGGCUGGUGGUUACCUGGUGAUCCUUUCUUUGUAAUUGGGAUGUUUAAACUCUUUACUAUAGAUAUUUUUUAAGUGAAAAGUGGAAAAUCCAAUAUAAUUUAUGCUUUAGUUUUUAUGAUGUCAGAUAUGCAGUGACUUUAAUAGGAAAAUCUGUGUUUUCAGUAGGUUUAUAUUCUUGGCAUUUCAUCUUGAAUCCAGCUAAGUUGCACUAAAGAUUCUAAUUUCUAUCACACAAGAUUAAAGAAAUGUGAAGCUAAGUGCAAAAAGUCAAAUUAUGUGGAUUCUAAUGGUUAAAAGGAGGUCAUUUUUGUCAAGAACCUCCAAAUCUGGGCUAGAAUGAUCUUUUCGGAUCACUACAAUAACCUUAAAAUCUUAUACUGAAUUUCCUUUAUUUUUAAUUAGGUCUCUUGAUGUCAAAGUUUUCUAAUGUAGUCUGAAGAGUGUGAAUGAAACAAGACUUUUUCCAAAAUUCUUCAAUUAUGGUCCAAAGUUUUGACCAUAAAGCACUUCUUUCAAACAUGCUUUCCUUUCAAGUCUGCUCUCACUGACAUUCUCCAUAUCUGUAUGAAUGUCCUGUGGGAAACAGCGGUUAGCACAUGCAGGUUAGAAAAACACAAUAGAAAUCUGUCUUUCCUUUGAGGCUUAGGAGAUGUGAUUUUUGUGCAUUUUUAUGUCAGGAAUAUUAAAUUUAUUUGUGCUUUCACAUUUUAUUGAAGUAUCUGGGAACUGUGGAGUCAGAAACAUGAUUUUGAACAAAAACUAAAUUUUUAGCACAUCUGUCAAAUACAUAUUUAGGUACAUUAGUUGUAUGAUAAGAUGGGCAAGAUUUGGAAAAUGCUGUCAUUUCCUUGGUUAAAAUAAAUGUCUGGAAAAGUUUCA
rnacentral:lncRNA from 14 species